UACGUAGGUGGCGAGCGUUGUCCGGAUUUACUGGGCGUAAAGAGCGCGCAGGCGGCUGGUCAAGUCCGAUGUGAAAGCUCCCGGCUUAACUGGGAAAUUGCAUCGGAAACUGAUCGGCUGGAAGGUGGGAGAGGGUAGCGGAAUUCCCGGUGUAGUGGUGAAAUGCGUAGAUAUCGGGAGGAGCACCAGUGGCGAAAGCGGCUACCUGGCUCAUUCUUGACGCUGAGGCGCGAAAGCUAGGGGAGCAAACGGG
rnacentral:rRNA from 1 species